GAUGAACGCUGGCGGCGUGCCUAAUACAUGCAAGUCGAGCGAACAGAUGAGGAGCUUGCUCCUCUGACGUUAGCGGCGGACGGGUGAGUAACACGUGGAUAACCUACCUAUAAGACUGGGAUAACUUCGGGAAACCGGAGCUAAUACCGGAUAAUAUAUUGAACCGCAUGGUUCAAUAGUGAAAGACGGUUUUGCUGUCACUUAUAGAUGGAUCCGCGCCGCAUUAGCUAGUUGGUAAGGUAACGGCUUACCAAGGCAACGAUGCGUAGCCGACCUGAGAGGGUGAUCGGCCACCCUGGAACUGAGACACGGUCCAGACUCCUACGGGAGGCAGCAGUCGGGAAUCUUCCGCAAUGGGCGAAGGCCUGACGGAGCAACGCCGCGUGAGUGAUGAAGGUCUUCGGAUCGUAAAACUCUGUUAUUAGGGAAGAACAAAUGUGUAAGUAACUGUGCACGUCUUGACGGUACCUAAUCAGAAAGCCACGGCUAACUACGUG
rnacentral:rRNA from 1 species